rnacentral:rRNA from 1 species
CGGCAAUGGAGGAAACUCUGACCGAGCAACGCCGCGUGAAUGACGAAGUACUUCGGUAUGUAAAGUUCUUUUAUCAAGGAAGAAAAGCAAAUGGCGAACCAUUUGUUUGCCGGUACUUGAUGAAUAAGCCCCGGCUAAUUAUGUGCCAGCAGCCGCCGUAAGACAUAAGGGGCAAGUGUUAUCCGGAAUUAUUGGGCGUAAAGGGUGCGUAGGCGGUCUAGUAAGUCAGUGGUGUAAUGGCAACGCUUAACGUUGUCCGGCUAUUGAAACUGCUAAACUUGAGUUAGAUAGAGGCGAGUGGAAUUCCAUGUGUAGCCGUAAAAUGCGUAAAUAUAUGGAGGAACACCAGAGGCGUAGGCGGCUCGCUGGGUCUUAACUGACGCUGAGGCACGAAAGCGUGGGGAGCAAACAGGAUUAGAUACCCUGGUAGUCCACGCCGUAAACGAUGAGUACUAAGUGUCGGGUUAAACCGGUACUGAAGUUAACACAUUAAGUACUCCGCCUGAGUAGUACGUACGCAAGUAUGAAACUUAAAGGAAUUGACGGGACUCCGCACAAGCGGUGGAUCAUGUUGUUUAAUUUGAAGAUACCCGAAAAACCUUACCAGGUCUUGACAUGUUUUUGCAAAAUGAUAGUAAUAUCGUGGAGGUUACCAGAAACACAGGUGGUGCAUGGUUGUCGUCAGCUCGUGUCGUGAGAUGUUAGGUUAAGUCCUAAAACGAGCGAAACCCUUAUCGUUAGUUGCCAGCACGUUAUGGUGGGGACUUUAACGAGACUGCCAAUGAUAAAUUGGAGGAAGGUGAGGAUCACGUCAAAUCAGCAUGCCCCUUAUGACCUGGGCUACAAACGUGAUACAAUGGCUGUUACAAAGAGUAGCUGAA